rnacentral:lncRNA from 1 species
AUCAUCAAGCGGCAACGCGAGGUUGACACGUCGCGGGUCCCGAAGAGAUUGAUAAAAUACCCAUCACCCGAUUUAUCCAAUGCAGCAGCAACACGGUACAUAGCAAUGUACGAGUACACGAGUCCCGCCGAUGAGCCAACCCAUCUGUUUUUGAACGGAAAACCGUACGAAGAUCCGGCGACGGAGACACCCAAAGAGGGGACCAGUGAGAUCUGGAACGUGAUCAAUCUGACGGAGGAUAAUCACCCGCUGCACAUCCACCUGGGGCUGUUCGUGGUGUUAGAACAGAGAAAGCUGGUGGACGUGGAAAAGUUCAAGGAGUGCAUGUUGAAGAUCAACAAUGCCGUCAAGUGCCAGAUAAGCAAGUAUGCACGUGGCAACAUAACAGCAGUGCCAGCUCACGAGCAGGGUUGGAAAAAUGUGUUCAAGAUGACGCCGGGGUACGUGACCAAAAUACUGGUGAGAUUUGCUUACAUACACUCCAACGCAUCGUAUCCGUUCGAUGCAUCCGCAGAGCCUGGUUACGUGUACCAUUGCCACGUAAGUAUCUUAUUCCGCUUUUCAAUCUGAAUUACUCCAAGCAUGAGAUCGUUUUGAUUACUUUCAAGAAGUAACACAACUUAUACAACCAGUUUGUUAGUUCUGGUAAAAUGGUGAAAAUUUAUUAAAAAAAUUCUUUAAGGUUGUACUUUUUUAUAAAGAAAAAAGAAGUUCUGUUUGAAUUUGAAUAGGCGUCAGGAAAUCAUGACUGCUGCCAUGCAGAUUCCAAAUAGAGCUUCAUCUUCACGGAUGCUCUGUAAUCUCAGAUUUGUCUUCUUGCGUGGGUCAAAUGCAGGCCACUUCACUACUUUCAAAGACGCUCCCUUCCAUAAGUCUCAUCCAUAUUUUCCUGAAUUAUUCCCUUGCCUGUGUUUUCAUCUAAAUUCACUACAAAACUACAAAGGCGAAAAAACAGAACAAGGAAAAGAAAAUUGCUACGAAUGAGACACUUCCUUCUGGGCACAAUCCAAAUGGGAAAAUCUUAUUUUUUUCCUGUAAAAAUGCAGAUUUUGGAUCAUGAAGACAAUGCGAUGAUGAGGCCCUUGAAGUUCAUAAAAUAAGAAGAUCCAUAGAGAUUAUUACAACAGCAACCUUCUUGUAAGCACAAUACAUCGCAUUUGGUUUCCUUCUUUAAUUGUAUCAAACUAAUAACUAAUCUAUUCCACUUCAUCAAUUCUUUACCCCUGCAGGCCCAUUGUUUUCCCAGUGACAAUAUCGAAUAAAGCAGAAGCCCAGUCGCGGAGAUGGGAUACUGUGUUGUACUGUAUCGAAUAACCGGAGAUGUCUCCUGUGGUAUGAUAGUUUAUAGAUUAUGUCCUACGCUUGUAAGUACCAUGCUCAUUAUAAUGUUGAUGUAAUGGUAUUACUACAACAGAGUAGGCAGCAAUGGUAUUACGAGUUACGACAGAGUAUGAUUAAUGUAUGAUUUUUAUAAAAAAAAUAUAUGUUGUUGUGAUAUAUAUUAAAAAAAUGUAACUUUAUGAAAUUUUACUCAUUCCACCCCUAAUAUAUCCAAUUAUUCUCCUAAGGGUAGAAUUAUGAGAGAUCCAAAAGUUUUACACCAUCUUUGCACUUGGAUCUCAUUUUUUAUUUUUUUUGUACCUUAAGCUCGUUUCAUUUAACAACUAAGUGUAUUUAAAUUAUAUUUAAUAUUUUAAUUAAUUAUAUGAUUAAUGUAUAAUUUUGAUAAAGUAUAUAUAUGUUGUUGUAAUAUAAAUAUUAAAAUAUGAAUUUAUGAAAUUUGUGUUCAUUUUGCUCCCAAAAUUUGAUAUUCCUUUUACAAUAUAUACAACUCUUAAAGGCAAAAUUAUAAUUGGGUCCAAAAUUUUGUACUAGGGUGCUAUUUCUUUAUAACUUUAAGUCUUAUUUCUUUAUAGUUUGAUAUGAUUUUUUCCUACUUUGAUUCUAUUAAUUUCUUCAUAAUAGUCUCAUCUCAUUGCUUGAAAAUAUAAUAAAGAAAAAUAAGUAAAAUAAAUUUUAAAAAACAUAUCAAAAUAAUCAAGUUUAUAUUUAUUUAUUUAUUUAUUUUUCUAUUUUCUUUUCUCUUUUAUUUUCCUUCAAAGUUUCUAGGAAGCAAACAUAGCAUUAGGGUUUUUUUAUUUUAUUUUUUUUAUUGUUGUUGUAGAAUUUUAGGCGAAUGCUAAAAAUUAUCCCAAGCUAUGAGGUUUGGAAUUAUGGGAUUGAAAAAUUAAACAAUUAAUUUUCCAAAGGAGAAAAUUAGAAUGUCAUUAGGAAGAAUAGGUAGGGGCAAAAUCGGGAGACUAUUCCAGGAAACUUUGAAGGCGCGUAGAGAAAGAGAGGCAGUUAUCCUCAUUCCUCAUUCGCAGGACCCAAUCUCAGCCCACAAUAUGGCACUUCGUCUCACGCCUCCCUUUCCAUCUUUCACCGGUCGAAAUCUGGUCAUCGGAAAAUCGCAGCCGCUGGUUAAACUAAAAAUCUCCUGCUCUUAUCAUUCCAACGAGGUCACUUCACUCGACACUCUUUAACUCCCACUUUUUCUUGGUUUCCGUUUACAAAUAAUGAAAAAAUUGGUGGUGUGAUUGUGAGAAGUAUUGGGCGCUGAUUUUUCCGGGGUGGUGAUAUAGUGCAAGAAGGAGUAGACGAGCGUGAUGAUAGUGCCGACAGGUGUAGGUACCACCAUCGGUGGAUUCGCCGGCGACGCUUAGCCAGUUGCUCGUGCACUCGCCUCCGUCGUUGAUUGCCUCAUUUCGCACCCUAACGUACGUCUCUCUCUCUUACCCUAACUCAAAAAGGGUGUUUUGGUCAUUUACCGUUAAUAGUUAGAUUCCAUCUCCACAGGUAUUACUGUUGUUCCCUUGCAUCUUGAGUUGCAUUGGGUUAUUUUUAAUAAAUAAGUUUAACUACGAAAUUAUGCUGCGUUUAUGUAUGAAUUAAUCAAGGAUUAACAGUUAUGAAGUACUGUGGCCCGGGGUUGAAUCUUAAUGGAUGAGGGCCGGCCCAAUAAUUGAAGGGGCCAAGAAAAUCGAGCCUGGACAAACGUAAUGAUCGGGCCCGUCCAAAUAAGUGGGCAAUAGGACGGGUUAGUCCUGUGCCCAUGGCUAUCGCCUACCGUGGGAUGGAAAAUGCGAAAACUUUCUGCUUGGACUUAUUUUUUAAAAGUCUAAAACAUAUACCUUAGCUAUGGUCUAUGGAGGACAGUGCAGCCUAUGCUUAAGCAUCUAUCUCUGCAACUUUAGGUGCUUAAUGCAGCAAUGCUUUGUUGGCCCGUGCCAAAUGUGCUAUAUGUUGUAGGUUAUGCUCUUGAUCGAUUUGCAGAAGGCUUAUGGGCAUUGCAGCUAGUUCACCAAAAUAGAGUAUGCUUCUAUAAGCUUGUCUCAUUUCUUGCAUGUAAUUAUGUCAUGUUUGCUGGCUGCUUAGUCUGUAAUCUUACAUUGGGCUUGUGAUGUCAAGCAGGUGGGGUUGGUUCUUGAUGCUGCAAUAGAGGGGGAGCUUCGACUUUGCCAUUUGCAAGUGGCUGAUGCGACAAGAGCUUCCCUUGGAUUGCCUGUUUUGGAAUAUAUUGUCACUGACACUCCUUUACUGGUAUGCGUCCCUAUCAGCUAGCAGAUUAAAGACUAAUGGAGCCAAAUAUCAACAUACUGCUAAUUGCCCAUAUCUUAAGUGGAGCUAAAGUAAAAGAUGCAUGUUCCAGACAGAUUACAUAACAUGUUUCAUGUGCUGCAGACCUUUCCCUUUGCAAGACAUGUUUUAUGUGCUGCAGGCCUUUCUCUUUGAUGACUAACUGCACUUCUUGUGAGAUGCUUAUUGAUGACAUGGGCAUGAUGCAUUAGACCAAGGGUCAUACACUUGGUGAUUGAUGAGUCAACAUUAUUUGUAUUGUCUAAUUAUGAUCUCUCUUCAUGAGAACUGAUGGACUUUUACAAAGUUUGUAGCAAUGAAAACAUUCCCCCUGCAAUUCAGUAACUUUAGUAUCAAAGUUUGUUUAUUAAUGGAUUAUCUCACAUGUCAUGUCAUGGUUGGAUAGCGAAUUGCUGCUCAACGGUUGUUCUCAUUUUCUCUGUUCUUGGCCGAAUGUUGUCAUUGCAUUUAAGUAGUUUGAUUUUCAUGAAUGCAGAGUUCCACUACCAAGGUAAUCGUGAGCUGUUCAUAUCUAUAACCUGUUUUAUAGGUGGAGAAAUGGGUUGAUCCAAAGAGCGGGCAAUCAACAGGGAGAGUUAAGCAUCCUGAUUCACUACCGAGAGCUGUGCAGACUUUAGUUAACCGAACAAAGGUAAAUGCUGUUGCAGUGGUGGGAUGCUUUCUGAUGAAGAUGUUGAAGACAUGGAUGAUUAUCGACAAGGGAUGGUAUGGAAAUUAUAUUCUUGGGUACCAUGCUGCAUUUCUGUCACUAUUUUGGACAUAAAGAACAAAUAUCUCCUCCAUGACAGCUGUUGAAGUUAAGGAUAUUAGUAUCUAUAAUUGCUUAAUUAACAUCCAAAGUAAUGUUCUAGUUAUUUAAAAUUCCCAAAUAUUCAAACAAAUUCUAGAGCAAGAGCUAGUGCUUCUCCUCCCAUUUGCUUUCUAUUUUCCCACUCAAAUUCAACAAUAAAUACUUCCAAUUUAUUGCUUGUGUUGCGGCUAACGCUUGUCAUCAUAAUAGGAUUGCCAACUUCCUCUUGUUCCCCCUUUUUCCUUAUGGUGUCUUACAUAAAUAAAAAUUUUUGAAUUCACUCCCAAACUUUGAAUUUUCAUUUUUCAUUUCUGAGUUGUUCUGAGUCCUACAAAUUGUGUCCACAAUAGUGCAUUGUCAUGGCUAUUGAAUAUGCAGGUACCAGACAAGAAUUGAGGCAUCUGUUAUUUACUCUAAUGCCUUUUUCAGUUGACAUAAAGUGUUGUAUAAACAUGAUGCAUAUAUACGGUGCUUAUAUUGUGAUAUGACUUUAGCUACUAAAACUCUUUUUCACUUCUUCUCAAAGCGAGAAGAAGAAAUUGGCAUCUAGAGUUGAAAGAUGCCGAUUAUUUAAGACUGAAUCAAUGUUGGGUUUUUGUGCUUCAAAGUUUGUAUCUCAUUCCUUCUCAUUCUCUUUAACCCGCAGGGUAUAGAUGAUUUGGCAGGAGUGGAGGCAGUUAUAAGCCAUCUGGUGGUGAAGGAAUUCCAGAUCCCUUGUGCACAUGCACCUGCACUAUCUCCCUUUCCUUUGAGCCUAUCACUGUGUCCAAAAUCAGCUGCCGAGGAGGUGAGUAAUAUCUUUUGAGGGCACAAAGAACUUAUAGCUACAUGAGAAGUGGUUUUUGUGGUUAUAGAAAGGGACAGUAGGUAUCUUUGUGUGAGUUUGCAUGUGUGCACACCAGUGUUCAUUUGUAUAAACUGAUGGGUGGGUAGGUAGGUGCAUGUUUUCACCUAUAGGGUGGAUGUUGUUGUUUGUCUUUGCAUUAGGACUAAAUUCCAUUGAUUAUCAUUUGGACACUUCAGGCCAAUGGUGUCACUAUGGAAAGUUGAAUAUUAUAUUCCUUACUGGGAACCUGAUAGAAAGGUUUAAUAUGGUGAUGGGGUUCCAUAAAGAUAAUGUGGCUUAUUUCAUUAGGAAAACACUAUUAAUUAUAAAGUCACUAAGCUAAUAGUUCAAAAAGGUCGUCACUUCAUGAAGGAGGAGAUGAGAGAUAAACUAGUAUAUUAACAUUAUUAACUAUAAAGAAAAAAUAAUAAUAAUACAACAUUUGAUGCCUAUUGAUAUAAAAUUUGUGGCAUUCACUACCACUAGGAUCAAGAAUAUUCACCAAGCUUAUGAUGUUCACUUUAUUUAUGAUAUGAUAUAGUUGGCCACGUUGAUGUUAUUAAUAAUUGUCCAUUUAUUAUAUCUGACCACUUAGGAGAGAUUAUAAUAAUGUCUUCGCCACACGCCCCACUAGAUUAUAUCAUUAGGUUUAGUGGUUGACACUUAGGAGAUCCACAAACAUCUCUACACUUACCUUCCACUGCAUCUGACCAUGAAAGCAUCGACAUUUAUAAUUUGGGCACCAUACUCAAAAAGCUCUUCAUUAAUACUAAUAGAAACAGUCCUAAAAGUAUACAAAGGAAUAUAUGUGACAGGAGAAAGGGAGCCAGAGAGACCAGCCCACCAUGCCUAGACUCGACUCUUUAUACUGGGUAGGUGAUGCCAUUUAGCAGUAAGGGGAACCAUAUCUUUCUACCCUUGAAGCCCUAUCCACAGUAGAUGGGUCCAUCUACUCAAAAAAAGUUUCAAUUGUACAAUAUGGCCGUAUGGGAUUCCUGCUGUCAAAUCCAAUUUUGAUUUCUUUGAAGUACUUCAUGAAAUGAUGAAAGGAAACAGAAAAAUGGGGGGGAAACACAAGAAAAGCCAGUGCCAAGUCUCUCCUUAAAAGGAAAGAGGUCUGAAAUUUCAAGGGGCCAUUAGAUACAACUAAGUGGCAAACAGCAACUUAGAUUGGGUGUCUUUGCCUAACCCAAUACUCGAUACUCAAUAGCCCUGCCAUAUCUGCUGCUUCCAUUGAGUGACUUUUUCAACCUUCAAUCCAUUAGAAUGACUAUUUCCUACUCUUAAUCUUACAAAUUUUUUAUUGAUGAUGAAAAAAUCAAACUAGGGUCCCAAUCAGUGAGUAGUGGGAAGACUUUUCAUACUGAUGUGAUUGAUCCCUUUACCAUACAUUUUUCUUUGUCUUGGAAUCUUGUGGACGGUAGAUGGCCCGAAAGCUAAUCGCAGGGAAGAAAAAAUGAUAAGAAUUUGGGAAGAAUCCAAAUUUAUGGUCCCAUUUGUACAUAAUUUCUAACCAUGCAUUAAAGGCCAAUGACCCUUCUCUUCAUUGACUCCAUGCCAAAAUACAAGGAAUAUAAACAUCCACCUCAUUGUAGCUACACAAGAAGUAAAAAUUCUAGACAUGAAAAUGAUUUUAUGGCUUUUGUAUUUGACCAAUUAAUUUAGUUUAUAAAUAGACAAAUGUUAGGGGAUAUUUUUCAUCAUGCAAAUUAACAAAAAAAAAAAAAAUCUCAUUAUAUAUUUAUAGUCCGACAAUAAUUUUAGAAAACGUUUUUAAUUUUUUUAAAAAAAGUUUACAUGUUUAGCAAAUUUAAAAAAAACACUUUCAAAAAUCUAAAAAAUUACUUAUAAUAUUUUUUAAAUAAAUAAUUUAUAGGUGUUUCUCUUAAAAAAUACUUUUAAAAGAAAACAUAUCUAUUAAAAACAAUUCAAAUAAAAAUAUUAUUGAAGGCACCUUUACUCGUCGUUCAAACAAAAUAGAAAAUGAUCAACCCAUUGAAAAUUUUAAACUUAUUUGAAAUUUAACAAAAAAAAAACAAUAAUUAAGAAGAGUCCUUGAAGAUAAUUCUCAAUUACUUUCAAAAAUAAAUAAUAUUGUUUAGGAAUUUAUAGUGUUUUCAAUUUAUUUUUGUGAAGGUAUCAUGUAUGACCUAAAACUUCUUCAAAUAUUCAUUUUAUUUUUAAUUAUUUCUUAAAAAUAUUUGAAAAGAUAAAAAAAAUAGAUUGAGAAGAUUUUAACUUUUUGACUAGAUUUUUAUUUUCAAAAAUACUAUAGAACUGUUUUUUAAAAAUGUUCUUAAUUUUUUUUCGAAAAAAAAAGGAACUAUUUUCUAAAACCUUCCUGUUAGAUUCAUAGUCUUAUUUUUUAUUUUAUGGAUGGAAAGUUAAAGAACAAAAGUGGCUGUCGGUAGACUCGGUACGUCCGGAUUAUUUUUCGAAUAAUACCUUUUAAUAAUAUUUUUUAAAAAUAAUAUAAAAAUUAGAAAUCCCCACUUUAGGGUAGGUGGGUGGAUGUCCUUGUCACGCUCCUAUUAUUCUCCCAGACCAGCUUUUCACUUAGACCAGCAUCACACAAUACAUAAAGCUUACACAUCCCUGAUACGUACUCAUUCAGCAACCUACGCGAUACUCUCUGGCCCAUGGAUAUACUUAUUUCUUUCCUUUUUUCUACUCCCAAUGAGCUCACCAUCAUUUUAGGUUACUUUGACAAUUCUUCGGUCUUCAUCUUAUCUAAAGAAGAUAGAAAAGAAGAAGAAAAAAAAAAUGAUUGUGGAAAACUAUGAAUAAUUGACCCGAUAUUGUUGAUAUUGUUGUUCCGAGUUCAACUGGAAUCAGAUUUGUCUAAAUUAACAGAGGUUAGACAACCUUCCUUCAUACGUUGUGUCUCUCCGAGUUUUUGUCUAACAAUGUCAAGAUUGGAUGAACUUUCCACUUACACAAAAGAAUGUUCGGAUAGGUGGUCCAGACACACCCUUUCGAAGUUUAAAUCAAACAGAGAUAGUUUGAAUUACUCAAAGAAGAUAGUGAAUAUGAUAGCCUAUGCGUACCUUGUUUAUGCUUUCGAAGGACUUUUAUAAUGCCUAAGAGAUCAUCACUAUAGUGUUGACUAAGCAAUUUGACCUUUUCUGUAAUAAUGAUUGUUUUGCAGGUGGUAGGACAAUCAUCAUAGUUUUGGACAGCUGACAAGUGCCGUUAGUUGAUGUGUCAUGACAUUUGAUAGUGUAGUCGCCUGUCCCCUCAACCUGUUGAUGGCUUGGGGUUACGUGUAGCAUUUAAUUGACAUGGACUUGAAUGGGAUGUCCUGGAUGGAUUGCAUGCUAGUGAUGGUCGAUCGAGGAGUCCGAGUAGGAAAAGGGACACGUGGAGGGGAGUUUCUCAUAACAGGACAAGUGGAGGAGAGCCCUCACAGAUAUGACUGGGUCUGAAAGAUUGACCAUGGAAGAGAACCACACAUCUUUAUUCACAUGGAAAAAAAAUGAUUAAUUAGGUCACAUCAUGUUUACUCCUUGAUUUUAUUACUUUUGAUAUGUUUAAUUUUAUUGUUUUGUUUCUUGAUUUUGUUAUUUAUCUUGAUUCGUUUGAUUUAAAUGUUUUUGAAAAAAGAGAAAAAAAACAUCAAAUUUCAAUGGAUACUUCUUUGGUAUCUUAAACAUUUUCAAGUAGGAACACAUAAAAAUGCAUCAUAGAAAAAAUGAAAUAAAAAAAAAAUUCAUGUAGGCAUGAUAUUUGAUUUUUUUUUUUAAAAAAAUUAUUAUGGGACGUAAUUUUUUAACCAUUUGCUCGUCCUUAUUUUCAUUGGGGCAUUUUUUAUGGGUGACAAAAUUUAAUACAAUUCAUCAACAUAAUUCAAGUUCAUCACACUUUUUACGGAUUUGUAUAAAAUAUGUAUACUCAAAUUUGAAUCAAAUUUAUAUCAAUCUGUAUAACUCAUUUAAUAAAUAGGUAAUUUUUUUUGUUAACUAUAUAUAUAUAUAUAUGUAAACUUAUUUUAAUUUUUUUAAAUAAAUAGAUGAGUCAUAAAUAUAUUAGUUUAAGACAUUAAUUAUAUAGACUUUUAUAAAACUUAACUCAAUUUAAUUAUUAAAUAAAAGAUUUUGAUUAUUAAAUAGGUAAAAUGAAUUACACUACGUGUUACCCGUUAUUAAUCAAGUUGAAUUUGGAUUGACCAAUGAAUUUAAAACGACAAAAAUACAGCUUAUCUACUUGCCCCUAUUUUUCCCUAUUAUUUUUUAAUACUAUUUUAGAAGGCAUUGCCAUAUUUGAACUCCUUUUAAAGCUAAUUAUCCCCUUGUUAUUAUUUUAUUUUCUUUUCAAAACAUUAGAAAUCCAUUAAUAUUAAUGAAGAUGAAGGACUUGUUCAAUAACUAUUUUCUAAAAUAUUUUUUUUGUUAUUUAGAAUGAUAAAACAAGAAAACAUUUUUCAAAAUUAUUUUUUGUUUUCUAUUAUUAAGAAUAUAAAAUAUGGUAUUUUUAGAAAACAUUUUUUAAUUGUUUUAACUUAUUUUUUAUUGAUUGUUGUAAAAAUAAUUAUACAAAUAUAAAAUAAAACAUUAAAUAUAAAAAUUAUUUUUAAAAUAUAUUAAAAAUAUUUUAAAUUUAUAAAUAUAUUUUUAUUUUAUAAAAUAUCAUAGAAUAAUUUUUAAAAUCUAUUAUUAAAAAUUGUUUUUCAAAAAUGUUUUCAGAGAGGAGACCAAGUCUUGUUUUUACGUUUUACUUUCAUUGUCUACUUUAGGUUUUAACAUAAUUCUUGCAUUUACUUUCAUUGCCUACUUUAGGUUUUAACAUAAUGCUUGCAUUAUUUAGUCUUUUUUUAUUUAUUUAUUUUGGAAACUUCGAAGCCCUCCAAUCUCCACGAGGUCCACCUCCUUUCUUUCUCGAGAAUCCCCCUUGGAUGAUAUAAAAUCUAACGUCAAGCACAAGUUCAUAUCCACACCCAUCUCUCGUACUCUUUCCCUCUCCCAACCCCCCUGCCUCGCUCCUCCCCCUCCCUCUCUCUCUCUGUGCAUGUAACCAAAUUGAACAUGAUGGUUAUGGAGAAAAUUCUGCUGUUUCAUCUCCUUUCUUUAGCUUUGUUGGGAGCUGUUGUAGAGGCUACACGGUCAGAUGACAGACUGAUAAAGAUAUCACAGUUGAAAAUGUUUGUUGAUGAGCUUCCAGACAUGCCAAAAAUCCUCGGUUUCGACGUUGUCAAUGGCGUUCCAGUUUCCAAGUCCCUGCAGAUUGGCAUGUUUUCGAAGAAAUGGGUACGAUUUACUUUCCUUUUUUUUUCUUUUGUUUUGGGUUUUUUAUUGCUUUCUAAUUUUUUUAAGUGUUAAAACUAUAUCCGGUUCCAUUCUGUGAGGCUAGGGGUAUCUUGCUCUUCCCGAUGUGCCUUUUUAACUUUAAUGGGUGGCCUUUUUACUUACAGAAAGAGAGGGGAAAAGGAUACAGAAGGCCAUGUUAGUGGCUGCUUGUUUCUGCUUUACUCCAUUCCCUUAUGAGAUUCCAACCUGUUCUGGAAGCUACUAGAACAACUUAAUGAGGUUUUUUGCUUCUGGUGGCCAUCAUUUCAUACUCUAUUUGAGGUAGUUUUUCUUCUAGGGUUUUUUCUUUGGCUUCAUUUGAAUUUGGGAGGGGGAAAAAAUGGAAACCUAAAAUUGGCCGACCUUUUAUUUCUGCCGACUGUUUGUAGAAGUAGACUGCAGACACUCGUUACACUGUUGAACCAAAAUAUCAUAGUCUUACUAGCUUCUGCCCACUGUCUAACCACAAAAAUUAUUUUCACCUUCAAAAAUCAAAUUAUGUCCAUUAAAGUCUGAGAUGGCAUCUUUCAGCCUUAUCCCUGUGGUUCUUCAUUUUCUGAGUCAAUGAAAAAAUGUGAGAGUAGAAAUCUUUGAUUCCUCCGGAUGUUGGAAAGUUUCAUUCUUGUUUGUAAAGUCCAAUAAUCACUCUUUUGAAAAGUUAAUAACACCUCACCUACAUUCUAGUCUUCUUAUUUAUUUAUUUUAUAUUUAUAGAGUUCUUAUUUUACCAUGUCCAAAUCUCUCGUGAUGUUAUGUAUUAUGCCAAAAGAAUUUCGUUUAGACUCAGAGAACAACACCUUCCUGAAGAGAUGACUGGGGUUUGAAAUAUUUCAAGGCAAAUUAUAUCUGACGUGGCAAUGUUUAACCUAGUGAACGGAUUUUUUCCUUGACUUCAAAUUUGUAAUCAAGAAAUGUUCCCGUUGGAGCAGCUAACUGUGUAGUGUGUCCUCUCGGUUCUUUGUCAUGAUUCAGAAAAGGAAGAAAAAAAAAAGAAAAAAAGGUCAUCUUACUCGACGGUUCUUAUCUGGUCUUGCUGUGCAGAAAUUCCACAGAGAUCUCCCGCCGACCCGUGUAUUUGCCUAUGGUACUUCCAAUAACACCGCAACGGUUCCUGGUCCAACCAUCGAGGCCCUCUACGGAGUUGACACUUACGUGACGUGGCGAAAUUACCUCCCAUCAAAACACAUCUUACCCUGGGACCCAACCAUCCCAACUGCCAUUCCCGCCACGAAGAAGGGCGUCCCAACGGUUGUUCAUCUCCACGGGGGCAUCGACGAACCCCAGAGCGAUGGAAACGCCAACUCAUGGUUCACCCGUGGCUUCAGAGAAAGAGGCCCCACCUGGACCCAAAAGAAGUACCACUACUACAACAUCCAGCAACCAGGCAAUAUGUGGUACCAUGAUCAUGCAAUGGGUUUGACUCGAGUCAACCUUCUGGUUGGCUUGAUUGGGGCCUACAUCAUCCGUCAUCCUGAUAUUGAGUCCCCACUCGGACUCCCUCAUGGAAAGGAGUUUGAUCGACCCUUGGUCGUAUUCGAUCGAAGCUUUCGCACCGAUGGUUCCAUCUACAUGAAUAGAACAGGAAACAAUCCCUCCAUUCAUCCACAAUGGCAGCCGGAGUAUUUUGGUGAUGCAAUCAUAGUCAACGGAAAAGCCUGGCCACGUUUGACAGUACGACGUCGUAAAUAUAGAUUCCGCAUCAUCAACGCAAGCAACGCUCGCUUCUUCGAGUUCUUCUUCACCAACGGUCUACGAUUCAUCCACGUCGGCUCCGACUCAUCUUAUAACAAACGUCCGGUCAUGAUAAAAAAAAUCCUCCUGGCCCCAUCAGAGAUUGUCGAUGUGAUUGUUGACUUUUCGGAGUCGAAAUCCGAUUCGGCUAUUCUAGCAAACGGUGCGGCUUAUCCCUACCCAAGUGGCGACCCAGUCAACAAGUUCAACGGUAACGUGAUGAAGUUCAUCAUCAAGCGGCAACGCGAGGUUGACACGUCGCGGGUCCCGAAGAGAUUGAUAAAAUACCCAUCACCCGAUUUAUCCAAUGCAGCAGCAACACGGUACAUAGCAAUGUACGAGUACACGAGCCCCACCGAUGAGCCAACCCAUCUGUUUUUGAACGGAAAACCGUACGAAGCACCGGCGACGGAGACACCCAAAGAGGGGACCAGUGAGAUCUGGAACGUGAUCAAUCUGACGGCGGAUAAUCACCCGCUGCACAUCCACCUGGGGCUGUUCGUGGUGUUAGAACAGAGAAAGCUGGUGGACGUGGAAAAGUUCAAGGAGUGCAUGUUGAAGAUCAACAAUGCCGUCAAGUGCCAGAUAAGCAAGUAUGCACGUGGCAACAUAACAGCAGUGCCAGCUCACGAGCAGGG